rnacentral:rRNA from 1 species
UUAAUGGAGAGUUUGAUCCUGGCUCAGGACGAACGCUGGCGGCGUGCCUAAUACAUGCAAGUCGAGCGGAGUGGUGAGGGAGCUUGCUCCUGAAUCACUUAGCGGCGGACGGGUGAGUAACACGUAGGCAACCUGCCCUUCAGACUGGGAUAACUACCGGAAACGGUAGCUAAUACCGGAUAAUUCCUUU